CCUACGGGGGGCAGCAGUGGGGAAUAUUGCACAAUGGGGGAAACCCUGAUGCAGCGACGCCGCGUGAGGGAAGAAGUAAUUCGUUACGUAAAGCUCUAUCAGCAGGGAAGAAACACUGACCUUACGGUCAGCAGACGGUACCUGAGUAAGAAGCCCCGGCUAACUACGUGCCAGCAGCCGCGGGAAUACGUAGGGGGCAAGCGGUAUCCGGAUUUACUGGGUGUAAAGGGGGCGUAGACGGUGCGCCAAGUCUGGAGUGAAAGACCGAAGCUUAACUUCCGAACUGCUUUGGAAACUGGCGAACUAGAGUGCGGGAGAGGUAAGCGGAAUUCCUAGUGUAGCGGUGAAAUGCGUAGAUAUUAGGAGGAACACCGGUGGCGAAGGCGGCUUACUGGACCGUAACUGACGUUGAGGCUCGAAAGCGUGGGGAGCAAACAGGAUUAGAUACCCCAGUAGUC
rnacentral:rRNA from 1 species